rnacentral:rRNA from 1 species
CGGUUGCUCGGGGAUCUUGCUCCCUGGUGUCUAUCGCCCUGACGGGUUGAGUAAUGGCAUUAUGAAUCUAGACCGGUAUAGGGGGAAAACCUGGGGAAACCCUGGCUAUUACGGCAAACGUCUAACGGGAAAAAACAGGUGCGCUUCCGAACCAUGCGCAACCGGAUGACCCAAUGUCGAAUUACCUGGUUGGUAAGGUAUUGGUACACCAAGGCCACCACCUGCACCAGGCCUAAAAGGAAACCAACAA